UACGAAGGGGGCUAGCGUUGCUCGGAAUCACUGGGCGUAAAGGGUGCGUAGGCGGGUCUUUAAGUCCUGCGUGAAAUCCUGCGGCUCAACCGCAGACGGUCGUGGGAAACUGGAAGGCUAGAGUGCGGGAGAGGAGAGUGGAAUUCCCGGUGUAGCGGUGAAAUGCGCAGAUAUCGGGAAGAACACCCGUGGCGAAGGCGGCUCUCUGGAACGCAACUGACGCUGAGACGCGAAAAGCGUGGGGAGCAAAACAGG
rnacentral:rRNA from 1 species